rnacentral:lncRNA from 1 species
AAACAAGAAGAGGUCAGCAAGGAGAGGCGCGCAGUUCGUUCCCAUAGGAAUGCCGACAAUUUGUUGAAAAAGUCUACCUCCAAACUCAACAAAUAUGUUGUCGAUAAGAAACUCCAGCAUACUGACCACUUGUUCUUUUGUGUAGCAUGUUUUACCUUUUUGUUUGUCACUAUUAACGAAAUAUGCCUUAUGAAAUCCCAAAGUAAUAAAUUUAUAGCGUAUGCUACCAUUUUUAUGUUGAAAG